GACGAACGCUGGCGGCGUGCUUAACACAUGCAAGUCGAACGAUGAAGCCGGAGCUUGCUCUGGUGAAUUAGUGGCGAACGGGUGAGUAACACGUGAGUAACCUGCCCUUGACUCUGGGAUAACUGCGGGAAACUGUAGCUAAUACCGGAUACGACCCUCGGAGGCAUCUCCUGGGGGUGGAAAGAAUUUCGGUCAAGGAUGGACUCGCGGCCUAUCAGCUAGUUGGUGAGGUAAAGGCUCACCAAGGCGACGACGGGUAGCCGGCCUGAGAGGGUGACCGGCCACACUGGGACUGAGACACGGCCCAGACUCCUACGGGAGGCAGCAGUGGGGAAUAUUGCACAAUGGGCGCAAGCCUGAUGCAGCAACGCCGCGUGAGGGAUGACGGCCUUCGGGUUGUAAACCUCUUUUAGCAGGGACGAUUAUGACGGUACCUGCAGAAGAAGGACCGGCCAACUACGUGCCAGCCGCCGCCGUAA
rnacentral:rRNA from 1 species